AACGGCCGUACCAUGCUGAAUAUACCGGUUCUCGUUAGAUCACCGAAGUUAAGCAUCAUUGGGCGUGGUCAGUACUUGGGUGGGUGACCACCUGGGAACACUGCGUGCCGUU
rnacentral:rRNA from 1 species